rnacentral:rRNA from 1 species
GCGACAGGCUUAACACAUGCAAGUCGAGGGGCAGCGGGGUAGUGCUUGCACUACUGCCGGCGACCGGCGCACGGGUGAGUAACACGUAUGGAACCUGCCCGCAGCAGGGGGAUAAGCGGAAGAAAUUCCGUCUAAUACCGCGUAACAACGUUGGGAGGCAUCUCCCGAUGUUUAAAGAUUUAUCGGCUGCGGAUGGCCAUGCGGCGCAUUAGCUAGUCGGCGGGGUAACGGCCCACCGAGGCGACGAUGCGUAGGGGUUCUGAGAGGAAGGUCCCCCACACUGGUACUGAGACACGGACCAGACUCCUACGGGAGGCAGCAGUGAGGAAUAUUGGUCAAUGGCCGAGAGGCUGAACCAGCCAAGUCGCGUGAGGGAAGACGGCCCUACGGGUUGUAAACCUCUUUUGUCGGGGAGCAAAGCGAACCACGUGUGGUUCAUUGAGAGUACCCGAAGAAAAAGCAUCGGCUAACUCCGUGCCAGCAGCCGCGGUAAUACGGAGGAUGCGAGCGUUAUCCGGAUUUAUUGGGUUUAAAGGGUGCGCAGGCGGAGGUGCAAGUCAGCGGUCAAAUUGCGGGGCUCAACCCCGUACUGCCGUUGAAACUGCAUCCCUUGAGUGCGCGAGAAGUAUGCGGAAUGCGUGGUGUAGCGGUGAAAUGCAUAGAUAUCACGCAGAACUCCGAUUGCGAAGGCAGCAUACCGGCGCGCAACUGACGCUCAUGCACGAAAGCGUGGGUAUCGAACAGGAUUAGAUACCCUGGUAGUCCACGCAGUAAACGAUGAACACUAACUGUUCGGCCAGAAUGAUGGCUGAGUGGUACAGCGAAAGCGUUAAGUGUUCCACCUGGGGAGUACGCCGGCAACGGUGAAACUCAAAGGAAUUGACGGGGGCCCGCACAAGCGGAGGAACAUGUGGUUUAAUUCGAUGAUACGCGAGGAACCUUACCCGGGCUCAAACGACACAGGAAUACUUUUGAAAGGAGGUAGCCCUACGGGGUCUGUGUCGAGGUGCUGCAUGGUUGUCGUCAGCUCGUGCCGUGAGGUGUCGGCUUAAGUGCCAUAACGAGCGCAACCCCUAUCGCCAGUUACCAUCAAGUAAAGUUGGGGACUCUGGCGAGACUGCCGGCGCAAGCUGAGAGGAAGGCGGGGAUGACGUCAAAUCAGCACGGCCCUUACGUCCGGGGCGACACACGUGUUACAAUGGCAGGUACAGAGAGAAGCCAGGUGGCGACACCGCGCGGAACUCGAAAGCCUGUCUCAGUUCGGAUCGGAGUCUGCAACCCGACUCCGUGAAGCUGGAUCCGCUAGUAAUCGCGCAUCAGCCAUGGCGCGGUGAAUACGUUCCCGGGCCUU